AUUGUAGUCCAUGUAUGUUGAUAUACUUAUUCCAUGAUAAUUCUAUGUUUAUCCUUUUGUGUGAUGUAAAUUAAAUACUGAAUGGCGGUUCAUGCAGGGAAAGAAUAUAUCAAUAUUCGCAUAUUCAUUCAAAAACAUGAAAAUUCUUAAUGGAGUACCCUCAUUUCUUAUUGAAUUCCUAAAAAACAAUAUUUAUAAUGAAUUUUAAUAAUUUUUUCUGAUUUUUUUGAAGCUUUAUUCGGACCGAUUCACCCGAUUCC
rnacentral:lncRNA from 1 species